UGAGUAAUCUGCCCUCGGCACCGGGAUAGCCCGGGGAAACCCGGAUUAAUACCGGAUAGCCUCCGAAGCCUUCGGGCGUCGGAGCAAAGGUAGCUUCGGCCUCUGGCCGAGGAUGAGCUCGCGGCGGAUUAGCUUGUUGGUGGGGUAAUGGCCCACCAAGGCGACGAUCCGUAGCUGGUCUGAGAGGACGAUCAGCCACACUGGGACUGAGACACGGCCCAGACUCCUACGGGAGGNAG
rnacentral:rRNA from 1 species